UAAAGCUAGAUUUUCUGGAGAAGACGAGUUAGUUAGAUGAAGGCUAGGCAUUCUAGGACUCUCUAGCUAGCUAGUAUAGCUAUGUAGCUGGAUUGCUUGGCAUCUAGGAAGGAUCUUUGAAGAAAUAAAAAGACAAAGACUCCCGUCGCUCCAAUGGUCGUUGCAAGUGUCGGAGGCCUGAGAAACAAUAGUCUAUUGGCUAGAAUGUUGUUAUGGAGGGUUAAUGAAGACAAGUGGCACGGGAUACAUACAUCUAGAGUGGAUCUACGCCAAGCUAGCUAGCUAGAUAGCUGCUCUUUCUAAUGAAUUUCUGUUGCUAAAUUAUGUUUGUUAAGAAGUGGAGCUAUAAUAUACCUGGCUCCUCGA